ensembl:lncRNA
AGCGUUUACUUCAGUGUUGCACCGGCACACGUCUGUGACGUGUGUGAGAGAGUGUGAGAAACUUGUACUGUAAUAAGUAACGUCUACAUGUUCCGUGUUUCCGUGUGUUAGUACAAGUGGACAAGUGUCUAGCGCGUAAGAGGUUUCAGACCAUUCCACUCCAUGUGUUGUGUUAUUCGUGUCUGGUGUACAAAGCCAAGCUGCCUUUCUCUUGCCCAGCAGUUAUCGAGCAGUAAACUCCCAGCGCCGCCAUCUCGGCUCAGCCCCCAUCCCCCAACAGGGAGUGUGCAGUCACGUUGUUUUCCCAUUGUUUAGUGUAAACGUCUGGAUCACCAUUCUCCUGAGGUAAAGACACUGCCUGAUGAACGCUAUGUGAAAUUUCAAAGCACUGAAAGUCCUUUAUUUUUUUUUGUCAAGAUGUUUGGUCAAGGAAAUUUUUUGCACAGAAGAGACCGAGAAGGGAAAUAGCUUAGCCUGAACCAAAUAGAGUAUUGAAUUGUGUAUAGGUGUGUAUAAUUAUAUAAGACCCAUUUUCAUUCGUUUUCUCACUGCCGUGAGGCUAUGGCUGUGCUCCAAUACUGUCUACCAUCUUUAGGGUUCUUCCGUUACUUUAUUUGACCGAGGGAAGGUUCUUAGAUGAGGGCUGGGACGCUGUCAUUAAAGACUAAAGUGAUCAAAUGCUUCAUUUUUUUAAACUCAUUUUCUACAUUUAAAGUUUUAUUAACUGACUUCUCCGUGUAUACGUCACAGGAGUAAAGGUGGGAAGUAACAAAGUACAAUUAUUUUAUUACUGUAUUUAAGUCUGUUUUUUUUUUUUUUUUAAAUUAUUCGUUAUUUACUUGAGGUUUUUGUUUUGUUUUUUUUUUCAGCAAAUACUUUUGACGUUUUACUUUUCUAUAUUAGAAAAUGUGUUUUCAAACGUCGCAUCACUACCCUGCUGAGAGAAAAUAAAACCUAAGAGAAAUCCUCACAGAAUUGCUAAUGAUUUCAAUGGAUAUAAUGGGAAUUGUAUUGGUUUUAAUGGAAACUGUAAUGGUCCCUGUGGGUCUCUACUGGUAAUUCGAUGCCUUCUAUUGGUGGCAUGUUUGGCUAGUGGGUACCAUUAAGGACCUACAUCCUUAAUACAUCCUACUAUAUAAUGGAAACCGUUUGGUAAUAGUUUUAAUGGUUAACAGCUAAUAGUUUGUAAUGGUAUUUCUAGUGGAAACCAUUAGAAUUCCUGGGGGUUUUUUUUCCAGCAGGGUACAGUUCUCUAUAAUCGUAUUUGUGCAGUCGUAAGCACUGAAAUGUGCAGUUUGUAUGCUCAGAGUUCGUCUCUUGCUAGCUAACAUCUGAGUGAAUAGGAAUAACGUUGUUGUUAGUUAGCCUUAGCUAAUGUUUUCCCCCGUUUCGUACUGUAACUAAGUUUACACAGUUUUCUAUUUUCACUUGAGUGAAGGGUUUCAUGCUGUACUUCGACGUUUACCAGAUUUAUUUAUUUAGAUGAGUAAUGAAUGAGUAAACAAUUUGGGUAAUUUUACCAGCUCGGGACGAUUGUCUAGCUAGUUAACAGCCUAGCUAAUUAGCCCCGUAGCUAAGGGGUGUCCAACGAAAGUCCAGGAGUGCCACAACACUCAGAGAAUUGUGUUUUCCCGUUUAUAAAACUACAAAUUCGGUCCUUGAAUCUUUUGGCAGUUAGCCGUGUUGUGUUGCGGUGUUCAAAUGAAGUAGAUGACUAGAGUCAGACAGAACUAGCAAACCAGCUGAUUAGCACUAUACACACUCUAGGUAAGAAUUAGAAGCUAGAAGCUAGAGGUAAGAAGCUAGAUUGUGUAAAGAAAAUAGGCUGUUCAAAUGGAAAAGGAAAUGGCUUCCAAUAAAUAAAUAAAUAAAUAAAUAAAUACAUAAACCUGCUUCCUGCCCUGCAAGUGGUACAGAGUCAUGACAGAGAAUCAUGAAGCGUUUAUAAAAACAGUAUUGGAACACAGCCUAGGAAAGUGUGUGCAAAGUGAAGGGACGAGAUAAAGCACUUUAUGUACUGCUUAAAAUACGGGGCAGAGGAGUGUGUUGAUGAAAGAGAGUACAUUACCGAGGAGAAUAUUUUGUGUGUGUGUGUGUGUGUGUGUGUGUGUGUGUGUGUUGUCACAUGCUGGGAUUGUUUUUAAUCGUAUUGACUAAAUUGUCUCAUUUGAAUCAGGUGCUUUGCUAAAUCACUCCAACUGCAAAUCAAAGUUGCACAGUUACUGAACUUUCUAGAACGUUGCUUUUUCUUCCAGUCGUGUGCUCUGCUCUGAACUUCUUUUCUUCUCUUUUCUUUUCUACUUCUUCCUGAGUUUGAGGGUUGAACGAUUCCUCUGCUGUAGUUUGCUGUGUUUUCUUGGUUCGAGAUGCAGUUUAAAAGAUUGCUAGAAAUGAGUGUUACAACUCGACUGCCUGCUGCCUAUAUACACUGGUUUUUAUUUUUAUUUUAUUGUUUGUUUGUUUUUUGUUUUGUUUUGUUUUUUGGUUUGUUUUUUUUUGCUAUGCAUUAUCUCCUUUUCUUCCAGGUUGAAAAAAGACUCAGUGAUAUUACAGUCUUUACGGAUGAAAUCCUUUCCUCAGCGUGUUAGAUAAUUGUUUCUGUGCUCUACGGGCCAUGUUCAGAGUUGGGACUUAAGUCCAAGGUUAUACACAUUCAGAGUUUGUUUAAGCAGAUCGAUUUUCUGACCAAUUUAUAUUUGAUGCAAAUUGAUCCUAGCUAAGUGUAGUUCUUGCCUCCAAGGUUGCCAGAUUUGUCUUGAGCAGAAGUAUCCAGAGACGAGUUUUUCCGGUAGUUUCUAGACCACUGGAUAGUAUAGAUAGAUUCCAUAGUUGUUUAAAUGUAUUUACAGCAUAAAUUUCAGUGACACAUCGUGGUUAUGUCAGACUGUGAAACAGUGGCACUGGCACCUCACUUGAGCCGAUUCCACUUACAUUCAAAUUCAGAAUAACACGUGACUGAGAUUUACUCGAACUCUGCCCACAUACGAACUCCAGCGUAUCUUCAGAUUAGCGUAAUUUCAUUAUUAAAUCCUCCCUCUGUGUGCUUAACUCUCAAUAUGGCCCUCUCUCUCUCUCUCUCUCCCUCUCUCAUUCCUUCUGUCACUCUCUCUCGCUCUCUUUCUCUCUC